AGGAUUUUAAAACACAUUUUUUAAGCCCUCAUAAGAGGCUUCUCUGUUUUAUGCUACAGCAGCAGCAGCAGUUAAAACUGUUGUUAGCAUGGUCAUUUUGCCUUGGUCUGUUGGAUAAGAAGGAUGAAGCAAAGUGUCUGAAGCUGGGCAUAUGGAAAGUGAGUGGAUGCCCAGAUGGACAGUUUCCCCAAAAGAACUUUGCUCGGAAGUUAUUUUUCUCCCAGCAUACAUGGGAAUAGGUUAGACAGCCUAAUUUAGCUUGAGAAGAGCAGAGACAGGAUAAUUAAGGCCUUGAUGUGAAGAAAAACAGCUAUGAGACUAAGCAGACCAGAGAAUGCAGGCCAUGCUGUCUGCAUCAUGUCUAGGCGUCUGCUGAUCAAGGGUGCUCAGAUGACAUCAGACAGAACUAGGAAGUGCCUUCCUUGGCCUGGCAGUUGUCACAGCAGAAAUGACAGCUGUUUCUUGAGCACUUGCUAUGUGGCAGGCUCUGACAGAAGUGCUGAUUAUGUGUUUUUAUUUAAUCCUGGAGCCUGCUAUUCUGUGGCCCCGCAACUAACUCUCUCAUUGUCUCUGCCUGGUCUGUUUUCCAGGGAUCCAACUCUGCAGGGUACACUUUCAGGUCUCACUUGUGUCCCAAUGCCAUUUUUGGUUCAAUCAAUAGAUAAUACCAGCAUCUAGUUAGAGUGGGGUGGUGAGGGGAUAUUUCUUCCUCUUUCCUUUCCAGCUGGGAGCUGCAGUCCCAGCCUUAGCUAUACCCCGUCUAGGAUUCCAGGACUCGCUGAAAUCCUAUGAUUCAGGAAUCAUGCAACACAAUUCCCUUUGUCCCUUCACGCUGAGAGGUGGCAUAGAAUUCCCUAGUCCUGUUAGUUUCUGGGUGCCCCACCAACCUACCCCCCUCCCCCACACACUCUUACUCAAACCUCUAAGUACCCAUUUGAACCAUUUAAAGUUGAUUUUGUGCCAAGAUCUUUAAGAUGAACCUAGGUACUAUAUUCCCUAUAUGCACAUAAGGCUAAGUAACUCAUUGAGCAUCACACACCAAACAAGCAUAUGUAUAAUUCAAAGCCUACAUAUUUUAUCACCAAAUUGCCAAACCUUUCCCUGCAUCCAGAAUGAUUUCCUCACUAUCAAGAAGGUCCAAGGAAUGACUGUUAAGUGAGUUCUUGGGAAGCAAGUGCAAAAAUCCACAUAGGAAGAUACAAAACCUGAGGUAGCUCAGCAGUUAGUACAGUGCAUAGGGAAUGGUGCCACCCACAAAUAGGUGGAGUGCGCCUGAGAAUAUACACCAAAUUGCAGCUGUAUAGGUUGUAACCAGAGGUGUCUGUCACCCAAUAAUAUAUUGUAGUGUCCAAGUAUUCUGCUGCCAGUUCUCCAUUUCAUUUGUGAAGUGUAUAUAGACAAUAAUCUAUAGUCUUGGCACUAAGGAUAGCAGUUAAGGAUAAAGGUGGCAAAGAUAGAAGAUCUACUUUCAGGGAACGUAAUGUAUUUGGGAGGAAAAUUAUGUUAGAGAAUAAUUACUUUUCGUAAUUAUUGAAAUUGAAACAAGUUCAAGUUCUAGCCAUAAUCUAGAAAAUACUUUUUUCUGGUAUGCUGCAGGGUCAAAGAAGGCCUUUAAAAGUAAUUUCAUUAGACUGAUGCUUGAACAGAGAUUUGAAAGAUGAAAAGAGGUUUGUCAAACAGAAAAGGACCCAGAUAUAUCAUCUCAGGAAGAAGGAAGCACAUGCCCAAAGGCCUCAUACAAGCACAUACUAGACAAGUGUGCCAUCACCAAGCUAUCUGCCUAGCCUUUAGACCCUACAUUUAAAUAUCACAUUCGUUAAAAAUAAAUACAUGUAGAUGUAUCUAUACAUUUAUUAAAAGGACUUCUAGAACAUACAGAAUAGGAAAUAAAUGUUAGUUUUGUGUUUUCUUUCACUUGGCAUAUUUUUUUCUGAGAAAUUAUGUCUAGAUUGAUGGUUUUGCUUAUUUAUUUUUUAUUUUUGAGAUUAUAACAUUUCUCCCUUCUCUUUGCUCUCUUCAAGUCCUACCAUAUACCCCUUCUCACACUCCUUCAAAUUCAUGACCCUUUUUUACUAAUUGUUAUUGCAGCAUAUAUGUAUACAAAAUAUGUGAUCCUAAAUAUGAAUUGUUCAGUCUGUAUGUUUGUCUGUAUGUUUUCAGGGCAGACUUUUUAGCACUGGACAAAUAAUUGGUAUGUUCUUUCCUGGGGCUUUUUAAAAUUAAUUUUAAAGUUAACCUGCAAGAGUUUCAUUAUAUAAUUAUAAUUAUAUAUUAUAAUAAUAUCCUAUUAAUGUAUCAUUAAUAUAAUAUAUUAUAUUGUUAUAUACACUAUAUAACAUAUAUUGCAUUCUAUGUUAAUAUUAUAUAUUUAAUAUAAUUAAUAUAAUGUCAUAUAUAUAUUUCUAAUCUGUCCUUACCCACUGUCCUCUGUCCCCUUUGUCCCUCUUGCUGUAAUAUUCCACUGCCCUUUCUUUCUCCCUCCUACCUCCCUUAAGAUGUCUUCCUCCCCUGUCAUGGUCCUCCUUCUACUCUCACAACAUGUAUACACAUUUAAGUCUGGAUUCUGAACGUGAAAGUAAUAUGCCAUAUUUGUCUAAGUCUGGCUUAUAUUGUUAACAAAAUGAUUUCCAGUUCUAUCAGUUUUCUUGCAAGUAUGAUCAUUUCAUUUUUCUUGGUAAGACAUGUCCUCACAUUGCUCAGGCUGGCCUCAACCUUGUUAUAUAGUUAAGGAUGAUUAUCAAUUACUGAUCCUCUAACUGUUGGGGUUAUAGGCAUGCAACACCAUACCCAGUUCAUUUUUGCUUUAUUGAUGAAUAGUUUCUAUUGUUUUUAAAUGUUCCAUAUUUUUAAAUAUUAUCUGUUGGUAGUCCUUUAGGACGGUUCCAUUUCCUAGCCUUUGUGAACAGCGUGGCAGUAGUUAAGGCUGUGAUAGUCUCCGUGGGUUAUGCUGACUCAUUCCUUCCAGUACAUAUGUCCAGAAGCAGCAUAGGUGGAUAGUAUGGUUUUUUCGGACCCUUCACAGUGGUUUUCAUAAUGGCUGCAAAGUUUAUACUCCUGCCAGUAAUGCAUAAUGUUCCUCUUUCCCCACACCGAACCUCAUUUGCUCUUCUCUUUCUCUCUACAACAAUGGUUUGUUUGGUUUUUUGUUUGUUUGUUUGUUUUUGUUUUUCUUAUUCUGGCUUUUCCUUUACCAAGUCAAAUAGAGACAGUUCUAAUCUGUUAUCUUACCCAGAAAUCCUUUUAUUUCUCCUUUUUUUCUUCUUUUAAGAUGGGGAUAGCUCCAGCUUCCCAUGGUUGUCAGUGAGAGAGAAUUUUACCCAUGCAGGAACAGGGAUGGUCUAGUGAGAGGCCACCAAAGCACCUUUACAGUUGUCCCUUUUCACUAACCUGUCAUUGUUAAUCCUCAAGACUCCAAGACUUAUUUAAACCUUAGCAUUCAACAUUUACAAAUAAGAGUACUUAUAAGAGAACUACUUAAUGUUGUUCAAAGUUAGUUUUAGAGAAACAGAAGUUAGCAGUAUGGUUAGUAAAUAAUAUGGCCUAAUGUGAACACACCAACACAUCAGGGUUCUCUGACCAUAACUGCACACUGAUUUCUGUCACCAUAGAAACUAGGAUGUGGACUUACACAUCAGUAUAUAUUUUAGAUUUACAUAUGUGCAUUGGCUAUUUGAUCUGUUUUUAUUGUAUAAUAUUUUAUUGCUAGACUGGACUACAACUUGUUUAUUCACCUGCCUUGGUGAAUGUUUCAAUUUUUCCAGUCAUUGGUCCUUAUGAAUAAGGGUCCUAUAAAUAUCCUAGUUAAGUCUUGU
rnacentral:lncRNA from 1 species